GUGAGGAUCUCCUUUGCAAUAGGGCUGAAGGAUGCCAUUCUGGAGAAGUUUCUUUUGUGGAGCUCUCAGUCCUCCAUUAGCCCCAACAGUUUCCUGUCUACCCUUCUGCAGAAGGUGAUAGAUGCAUGCACAUUAUUCACCAUCAGAGCCUAGUGGCAGGGUUUAAGUGGCACACAUGGACUUGUCCACAGUGGGUUUAGAAGUAUGAGUUGGCUGGUCAACUUGAGCACUGACAAGGGGUGAGGGUUGUGGUUUACUUUCUGGUAGGACUAGCAUGUCACUAAAGCAGGCCUUUUGGUAUAUUAAAAGAUUUUCUAAAGCAAAACCAGUUUAGAUUUUAAUCAGAUUUGUAGGCUUUCUAAGUCUAAUUUUACAGAACUGCCUCCUUCCUCUCUGCUCUUCCCAGGAGUCAGGGACAGGACUGGAGUGAAAACACUUGUAAUUUUUUUGUAUCCUGGUAUCUUUUUUCCCUGUGCAAAAUAUUCCUUUCUUUGUUAAGAUUCUUAAGGUGUUUUUUUUUUUCUUUUAUAAUAAACAUACUAGAUUUGCAUCC